rnacentral:rRNA from 1 species
CAGCCGCCGCGGUAAUACGUAGGGUGCGAGCGUUAAUCGGAAUUACUGGGCGUAAAGCGUGCGUAGGUGGUGGUUUAAGUCCGUUGUGAAAGCCCUGGGCUCAACCUGGAAAUUGCAGUGGAUACUGGGUCACUAGAGUGUGGUAGAGGAUAGUGGAAUUUCCGGUGUAGCAGUGAAAUGCGUAGAGAUCGGAAGGAACAUCUGUGGCGAAGGCGACUAUCUGGGCAACACUGACGCUGAGGCACGAAAGCGUGGGGAGCAAACAGGAUUAGAUACCCCAGUAGUCCCUGUCUCUUAUACC